CUUUGAUGUUUAUAGGUGGCUUAACAUGAUCAUUUGAUGUGUAUCUUAUGUAGAAGAUUUGAAUGAUCUACACGCACCAACUCGAUGUACGGCGACUCCAUGGAGCAAGUCGAGUUCGUGGAGCAAGUCAUGGACGAUGCCAUGGAAGAUUCAAAAGAUAUAUGGAUGAUUAUAAUGGUGCAUGGCAAGUAUAUUGCAAUGAUGAUGAUGUUCCGGUUCAUGAUGAUGAUGAUGUUCC